rnacentral:rRNA from 1 species
GACGUAGGGCGCGAGCGUUGUCCGGAUUUAUUGGGCGUAAAGAGCUCGUAGGCGGCUCAUUGCGUCAAUCGUGAAAUCCUGUGGCUCAACUACAGGCUUGCGGUUGAUACGGGUGGGCUGGAGUUCGGUAGGGGAGACUGGAAUUCCUGGUGUAGCGGUGAAAUGCGCAGAUAUCAGGAGGAACACCGGUGGCGAAGGCGGGUCUCUGGGCCGAUACUGACGCUGAGGAGCGAAAGCGUGGGGAGCGAACAGG